CACAGAUCAGUGUCAGAGGUGCGAUGAAAACCCAGGAGUUCUGAUUCCUGGGUCACCAUGCUCCCUUUGCCAAGGGUGGAGCCGACACCAACAGACUCUUAGCUCCUGUGCCCUGUGCAUCCUGGUGUUCGUGCACGUGCUGCACGGAUCAUUUGCUCUGGAGAAAGCCAGCAGGCAUGAGAGGCCCAUGUGCCUGCAGACAGAUCAUCAGAAAAUUCAACUUUCAAGUGAGGAUCAUAAGCCAGAGAGUGCAGGACUCCACACCAGGGCAGAUGACCUGUGGAUUCCAGAAGCUCUCAGGAAUUUUGCAGAUUUCUCAAGGGCAACCCUGUCCAUAGAACGGGGAAAAGAACAAGCCCAUGCCUCCAAAGAGAAACUUCACAGUUCGCCUAAGUUUAACCUCUAGUGAUUCAUUCUCUUGUGUGUGGGGGCCUUCUGAUCUCUGGGAGCUCCCUCAAAGGCAAACUCCCAUGCAGAGGGCAUUUCUGAGGACUGAAAUCCAGGUGAUAAUAGUAACUACUGCUUUUUUAGCAUUUAGUGCUAACUUUGGCAUUUGGGCAACCAUCAAACACUCUCUUCCAUCAUCUCGCCCCUCCACCCACAGCCCUGUGUUAUCAAUCCCCUUUCCCAGCCAACCUGGGGACAAGUUGACUUGUCAUCACCAUCUGUACCUCCCCACUUUACACUCUCUCCACAGUCCACUCCACUAGGGCAUUGGCUGCACAUGUCACCAAAACCACUCUUGUCAGUGUCACCAAAAACUCCCAUGUUGCAAGAUACAAAGGCCAUUUUUCGGUCUCUUGUACUGAGCCUCUCCUAGAAGCAUAAGGUCCCUGGGCUUCCUUGGCACCUCCUCCGCCAGCAUCUUCU
rnacentral:lncRNA from 1 species